rnacentral:misc_RNA from 1 species
ACCUUUCAAGAACAGGGUGCGUCGCGGCCCCCCUCCGGGGGCGGUUGGGGUCCUCCCCUUCACGCGCGCACGACUGCAUCCUUACUUUACGAGCACCUUCUGUUCUCCCUCGGCGGGGCAACCUGCCGUUGGAACCGAAUAAACCCUUUUUUGCAUCCAGCAUUACCCGUUCCGAAACAAACAAUCGUUA